CCGGCCGUGCACGUGCGCGGCGCGUGGCGCUCGUUUCCGAGCUGAAGACUGCGGCGCGCGCAGGGUGGCGGUGCGUUGUUCUGAGCUGGAGUGUGAAGGGAAUCAGAAUCAUAGAGUGGCCUGCGUUGAAGAAGAUCACAAAGCUCAUCCGCUUCCAACCCCCUGCUAUGUGCAGGUUGCCAACCACCUGAGCAGCUGCCCAGAGCAACAUCCAGCCUGGCCUUGAGUAUCUCCAGGGAUGGGGCAUCCACAACCUCCUUGAGCAACCUGUUAUUGUGUGUCACCACCCAUUGUGUGAAAAACUUCCUCCUAAUAUCCAAUCUAAACCUCCCAUGAGUUUAGAACCAUUCCCCCUUGUCUUAUCACUAUCCACCCUCCUGAACGGCCAAUCCCCUCCUGAACAUAUGUCUAUGAAUUUUUCAGUGUCCUCAGUACCCUAAUUUGUGAAGUAAGUUAGAUUUUAGGGUAUGACUGUAUUUUUCUUGUUGUAAAUCAAGAAUAAUGAGUCAUGAAACAGAGUCUGUGAUCACAGGUUGUCUUUCAAACUGAUAACUUAAGUGAAAAAAUGACAGUUCAGUGCAUUAAACUUUGAGAUUUAUGCCUUUUGGAGCAUGAGAUGUGUAGAUGUACUGAGGGACGUGAUUUAGUGGGAAAUAUUGGUGAUAGGUGGAUGGUUGGACUGGAUGAUCUUAGAGACCUUUUCAAACUUUGGUGAUUCUAUGACUAAUGUAAGCAAACUUAAAGCAAAUCCUAGUUUUGCCUUUUAUUUGCUAUUCUUAAAUAUUUUUAUCAGAAUUCUAAUCAAUUUUCAUCUUUUUUUUUUUUCUUCUUUCAUUUUCUACACCAGCUGUGUUCAUAGUUAGGUAGAGAAGUAUUUCAAUUUUCUGGUCAGAGAAUUCUCUUACGAGAUCUAGUACUUCUUCUCAGUGAUUAAGUUCAGUCUUUGGUGAUAAAUUGUCACACGCUGAAUAAACCAGAGAUGAGAAGUCUACCAUGAAUAAGGAAGCUUUCAACUUUCACGUUUUCUUUCUGAGCAUCAGAAUAUAUAGAAUUAGGAGGCAGUAGACUACGAUGUCUUCAGUUAAAUUUAUGCUUUAUUUAGAAAUAUCUGCAGUUAUUGUUUUCAUCUUCUAGGGAAGAGUAUGUUGUUUUUACUUUGUAGUAAAUAUAAUUGAAUAAAUAAAUAAUAAUAAAUAAUAAAUUUAAAUAUAUUUUAAAUUCACUUGCUCAGUAGCAAACUGUCUUGCCUGAGAUUCCUAAACAGCGAAGUCCUGUAUUUCUGUAGCUUUGAACUGUUGACUCCAGGGCUUAUAGUUACUGCGGUAAUAAACUUGUACACACUGCAUCCUUUGUCUGUUUGACAGACAAUCUGGUGGCUUAGCUAGGAAGGUUUCUUCUUUUGCUCACAUAUAUAAUUACAGUUAUGAUUUCUUAGCCUUUUAAGGCAUUCUGCCACUAAUGUGAUUAAGAAGCCAUCUCUGACUCAUCAUUACAUUUUUUUAUAUGAACAGAAUUCUUGUUGAAGUAAGUUUGAUAUUUGUGUGAAGGAGGACUGGAAAUAAAAAAUUCUAUCUGUGAAGUCCAUCAGAUCUUGUCAAAGAUCAAUAUGUAAUCGUGGACAAUUAAAUAACUGUAAUAUCCUUGCAUUACAUAUUAAUAAUCGGUGGUAGCUUAAGGGAAUACGGAAACAUUUGCCUCCAUAAAGUGAUAUUUUUGGUUUUGGCAGAUUCUCUUAGUAUUGCAAUAUGUAUUGGCAACCAAAUCCAUGUUUUCUGUGAAAUAAUUGCUUUAGGAGAAUGAAGCAGGAAGUGGGAAAAGAUUGGCAAUUAUUGGAAUCUUGUGUACAUAAAGCGAAUGUGUGCUGAUAAUAAUUUCCGAGCAUGUUAUUUCUUUAUCCUGUUGUACCUGAGCAUGCAGCCUGCUUAGCCAGGGCUCUCUUAGAGUUUGUGCACUGUGAGAAUUUUUGUUUGAGAGGAGGUUGCAGAGAAGACUGUGAAGAUUCUGAAGAUUUCUUGCUUUGGAACUUAACUGAUGUAGUGAUCAACAGAGGGGUUUGUUUCUUUCUUUUAGGUCUACUUAAUGAUAUUGUGCUUUUGAUCAUGUGGCUCUUAUUUUUGUUAAAACCUGAGAUCUGAGUUAAUAUGGGAAUUAGGACGUUGCUCUUAGACCAGUGGCCUAAUUUGUUAAAGCAAAAUUCAGUGUAUUUUUGAAUGUAACUAGUAAUUCUGGAUAGUUUUGAAUGUUGUCAAUGAGUGAAUCAGUUACUGUCUUUGCUGGAAGGAAAUGUAGAAAAAUGCUUUAAAGAUGUAUUUUCUUCUGAGUUGUAUGGGAAAUAAAAAUGCAGUAAUGAGAACUGUGUAUCUUGUUAAAUAAAGCCUGUGGGUACUAUGUUGACUGUCCUGCACCAUAGCUUGAAAAUAAAAUAAAUCAAAUAAGAUUGGUUAUCACAAUGAACAGUCUCUUUGUGUCAUGUAACAAAAUGAUCCAAGCAGUGAAUUGACAGCUGCGAGGUUUCAGAGGGGAAAAAAUGUAACGAGAAGUUAAAACUAUGUCUUUUCACAGGGGGCUGUUCUAUAAUUUUAUGCAAAUAAAAGUACUGGUAUCUCUUAA